rnacentral:misc_RNA from 1 species
UCUCCGUAGGUGAACCUGCGGAGGGAUCAUUAACAGCGAAGGGGAAACCCUAAGCAUUCCAACCAACCCACCAGUGUAACCACACCAGUCCUCUCCCUGCGCUCAUAGCGGAGACGCUAUUAGUCAGGCUACGCCUCCGGGCUUUUAUUUUAACCCCUCUCCAACCAUUGAGCGCUUGGCGCUUGAAAAAGUUCAAAGCAGCUAACCCUGCUUUGUCCUACUAUUCUAACUAAGCACAACUCUUAGCAACGGAUAUCUAGGUUCUCACAUCGAUGAAGAACGCAGC